AAGCGGAUAUUUUAAAGGUAAACUGGCGGUCUCCAAAACUCGCCGAUGUAGGUUCGAUUCCUGCUCCGCUUG
rnacentral:tRNA from 1 species